GAUGAACGCUGGCGGCGUGCCUAAUACAUGCAAGUCAAACGAAACUUCUUUAUCACCGAGUGCUUGCACUCACCGAUAAAGAGUUGAGUGGCGAACGGGUGAGUAACACGUGGGCAACCUGCCCAAAAGAGGGGGAUAACACUUGGAAACAGGUGCUAAUACCGCAUAACCAUAGUUACCGCAUGGUAACUAUGUAAAAGGUGGCUAUACUACCGCUUUUGGAUGGGCCCGCGGCGCAUUAGCUAGUUGGUAGGGUAAAGGCUUACCAAGGCAAUGAUGCGUAGCCGAAUUGAGAGGUUGAUCGGCCACAUUGGGACUGAGACACGGCCCAAACUCCUACGGGAGGCAGCAGUAGGGAAUCUUCCACAAUGGGCGAAAGCCUGAUGGAGCAACGCCGCGUGGGUGAAGAAGGUCUUCGGAUCGUAAAACCCUGUUGUUAGAGAAGAAAGUGCGUGAGAGUAACGGUUCACGUUUCGACGGUAUCUAACCAGAAAGCCACGGCUAACUACGU
rnacentral:rRNA from 1 species